rnacentral:rRNA from 1 species
ACGCUGGCGGCAGGCCUAUCACAUGCAAGUCGAGCGGUAGAGAGAAGCUUGCUUCUCUUGAGAGCGGCGGACGGGUGAGUAAUGCCUAGGAAUCUGCCUGGUAGUGGGGGAUAACGUUCGGAAACGGACGCUAAUACCGCAUACGUCCUACGGGAGAAAGCAGGGGACCUUCGGGCCUUGCGCUAUCAGAUGAGCCUAGGUCGGAUUAGCUAGUUGGUGAGGUAAUGGCUCACCAAGGCGACGAUCCGUAACUGGUCUGAGAGGAUGAUCAGUCACACUGGAACUGAGACACGGUCCAGACUCCUACGGGAGGCAGCAGUGGGGAAUAUUGGACAAUGGGCGAAAGCCUGAUCCAGCCAUGCCGCGUGUGUGAAGAAGGUCUUCGGAUUGUAAA